GACGAACGCUGGCGGCGCGCCUAACACAUGCAAGUCGAACGGAGCUGCGAGAAGCUUGCUUUUCUUAGCUUAGUGGCGAACGGGUGAGUAACGCGUGAGUAACCUGCCCUGGAGUGGGGGACAACAGUUGGAAACGACUGCUAAUACCGCAUAAGCCCACGAUCCGGCAUCGGCUUGAGGGAAAAGGAUUUAUUCGCUUCAGGAUGGACUCGCGUCCAAUUAGCUAGUUGGUGAGGUAACGGCCCACCAAGGCGACGAUUGGUAGCCGGACUGAGAGGUUGAACGGCCACAUUGGGACUGAGACACGGCCCAGACUCCUACGGGAGGCAGCAGUGGGGGAUAUUGCACAAUGGGGGAAACCCUGAUGCAGCGACGCCGCGUGGAGGAAGAAGGUUUUCGGAUUGUAAACUCCUGUCGUUAGGGACGAUAAUGACGGUACCUAACAAGAAAGCACCGGCUAACUACGUG
rnacentral:rRNA from 1 species